UGCGUUUUGCUAACGUAGCGUCGCUGUGCCACUGUACGUGGGAUCUGCCUUUUUUUUUCGUAGACGAGUCACCAAAGCACUUAUUUACCUCAUCAACGAAAUUAGCCCAUGUGGUCAAGUUCUGCUCGUGAUUCUCAAAACACUCCAAUACGGUUCCCUCAAGAAACACUGAGAAGGAUCGAGGCUGCCUGUAAUGUCGUCCUGGAGUGUUGGACGAAAGCGGCGAAUUGUUCCCGUCAGAAUUCAUGAUGGUUGGUAGACGCGGAGGGCCUGCGGCUUCGACGAAACUACUGGUUGCUACUCCGUGUGUCCCUGCUGGAGGCUCAACUGCGUUACCCAGCACUCUCCGCCAAUUGCGCUGCGCUUCCUAUGACGGAUGGUGUUAUGCCAGGAGACAUGGUCCUUGUUCGGGAGGGAUUCUUCCCACGAGAACGAGCGCAGUUCUGGCGAACUCUCCCCCCUCCCAACGCCACUUUCCUCGCAAACGGUGGCGACCCACGUGCAGUUUCGGGGAAGACUUCGCCUCCUCCGCCGAGCCACGUACAGUUCCGGGGAAAGCUGCGUCUUCUCCACCGAGCGACGUGCGAUUCCGGGGAAGGCUUUGCCUUCUCCGCCAAGCACCGAAAACUGGUCUCAGAGAGAAGACCAAAACGUUAUCUAAGGCGUGUCAACCCGACGUGUGAGGAUUUCUGCCCCAGCCGACGUCGUCAUUGUGGCGGGCUUUGUAUAAACUAUAACCUGAUAUAGCAGAC